rnacentral:rRNA from 1 species
GAUGAACGCUGGCUACAGGCUUAACACAUGCAAGUCGAGGGGAAACGACGGGGAAGCUUGCUUCCCCGGGCGUCGACCGGCGCACGGGUGAGUAACGCGUAUCCAACCUGCCUCUGACUGAGGGAUAACCUGUCGAAAGUCGGCCUAAUACCUCAUGGCAUCGUCUGCGGGCAUCCAACGACGAUUAAAGAUUUCAUCGGUCAGAGAUUGGGAUGCGUCUGAUUAGCUUGUUGGCGGGGUAACGGCCCACCAAGGCGACGAUCAGUAGGGGUUCUGAGAGGAAGGUCCCCCACAUUGGAACUGAGACACGGUCCAAACUCCUACGGGAGGCAGCAGUGAGGAAUAUUGGUCAAUGGGCGAGAGCCUGAACCAGCCAAGUAGCGUGCAGGAUGACGGCCCUAUGGGUUGUAAACUGCUUUUAUGCGGGGAUAAAGUGAGGGACGUGUCCUUCAUUGCAGGUACCGCAUGAAUAAGGACCGGCUAAUUCCGUG